CUACGGGCGGCAGCAGUAAGGAAUAUUGCGCAAUGGAGGCAACUCUGACGCAGCCAUGCCGCGUGCAGGAAGAAGGCCUUAUGGGUCGUAAACUGCUUUUAUUUAGGAAUAAACCCCCGAACGUGUUCGGGGCUGAAGGUACUAAACGAAUAAGCACCGGCUAACUCCGUGCCAGCAGCCGCGGUAAUACGGAGGGUGCAAGCGUUAUCCGGAUUUAUUGGGUUUAAAGGGUGCGCAGGCGGGCUAUUAAGUCAGUUGUGAAAUCCCGGGGCUCAACUCCGGAACUGCCAUUGAUACUGAUAGUCUUGAGUUUGGUUGAAGUGGGCGGAAUGUAGCAUGUAGCGGUGAAAUGCAUAGAUAUGCUACAGAACACCAAUCGCGAAGGCAGCUCACUAAGCCAAAACUGACGCUCAUGCACGAAAGCGUGGGGAUCAGACAGGAUUAGAUACCCCCGUAGUC
rnacentral:rRNA from 1 species